GAUGAACGCUGGCGGCGCGCCUAACACAUGCAAGUCGAACGAUUAAAGCACCUUCGGGUGUGUAUAAAGUGGCGAACGGCUGAGUAACUCGUGGGCAACCUGCCCCUUUCAUUGGGAUAGCCACGGGAAACCGUGGAUAAUACCUAAUACUUCAAAACUUCCACAUGGAAGGCUCGAGAAAGCUCCGGCGGAGAGGGUUGGGCCCGCGGCCUGUUCGCUUGUUGGUGGGGUGACUGCCUACCAAGGCAACGAAGGGGAGCUGGGUUGAGAGACCGACAAGCCAGAAUGGGACUGAGAAGCGGGCCAGACGCCUACGGGAGGCAGCAGUGGAGAAUCUUGCAAGAAGGGCGAAAGGCGGAUGCAGCGACGCCGCGUGGGGGAUGAAGGCCGGCGGGUUGUAAACCGCGUUCAGCAGGAAAGAGGAGAAAGUGACGGUACCUGCAGAAGAAGCCACGGCUAACUACGUG
rnacentral:rRNA from 1 species